rnacentral:rRNA from 1 species
CCUACGGGAGACAGCAGUGAGGAAUAUUGGUCAAUGGGCUUACGCCUGAACCAGCCAAGUCGCGUGAGGGAAGACUGCCCUAUGGGUUGUAAACCUCUUUUGUCAGGGAGCAACGCCGGCUACGUGUAGCCGGACUCAGAGUACCUGAAGAAAAAGCAUCGGCUAACUCCGUGCCAGCAGCCGCGGUAAUAGGGAGGAUUCGAGCGUUAUCCGGAUUUAUGGGGUUAAAAGGGUGCGUAGGCGGAAUGCCAAGUCAGCGGUAAAAUCGCGGGGCUCAACCUCGCUCCGCCGUUGAAACUGGCAUUCUUGAGUGGGCGAGAAGUAUGCGGAAUGCGUGGUGUAGCGGUGAAAUGCAUAGAUAUCACGCAGAACUCCGAUUGCGAAGGCAGCAUACCGGCGCCCAACUGACGCUGAAGCACGAAAGCGUGGGUAUCGAACAGGAUUAGAUACCCUAGUAGUC